rnacentral:snRNA from 1 species
GUGCUCGCUUCAGUAGCACAUAUACUAAAAUUGGAACAAUAUAGAGAAGAUUAGCAUGGCCCUUGCACAAGGAUGACACGCAAAUUCGUGAAGCAUUGCCGGGCGCA